UACAUAGGCAGCAAGCGUUGUUCGGAAUUACUGGGCGUAAAGAGUGUGUAGGCGGUGCUCUAAGUUCGGUGUGAAAUCUCCCGGCUCAACUGGGAGGGUGCGCUGAAAACUGGGGUGCUCGAGGGUGGGAGAGGUAAGCGGAAUUCCUGGUGUAGCGGUGAAAUGCGUAGAUAUCAGGAGGAACACCUGUGGUGUAGACAGCUUACUGGACCACUUCUGACGCUGAGACACGAAAGCGUGGGUAGCAAACAGG
rnacentral:rRNA from 1 species